rnacentral:tRNA from 1 species
GCGCGGGUGGCGAAAUUGGUAGANNGUAGACGCACUACCUUGAGGUGGUAACGCUGGCAACGGCAUGGAGGUUCGAGUCCUCUCCCGCGCACAA